AAAUAAAUCCAGGUGGUGAAUAUAUCCAACACUUUCCUUCUCCUAUUUUUCCCCACAGCAACAACCUUGUGAGAUAGGUUGGGCCGAGAGUGACUGCCCAAUAAUCACCCAACUUGUUUUCAUAGUCUCCUGCUUUCUAGCCCGAUGCCUUGAACACUAGAUCAAACUGACCAUGGUUGAUGUUUUGUGACAUGUAAUGCCAUUAUCAUGUGCUUUCAAAAUUUGGAAUAUUUACAGGAUUGGAGAGUUCUGUAAAUAAGAUACAUUUAGUUUGGGUAAAUUUAAAUUGAGUUUAGUUUGGAUAAAUUAACAAUGUUUUACUCAAAUUCAGGAAGCCUGUGAGAUGAAUCGAGGUCUUCAAGUUAAAGUUGAAGAAAAGUUACGAAGACUCAAGCUGCAGAUGGCUGCAGAUCUUCGAAGAAUGAUAGGUUCACAGGGAGAACAUGACCAGCUGGACCCUUUACCCAACAUGCUUCAACAAAGAAAUGGUGAAAUAGAAGAAAUGAAAGUGAAACAAUUAGAAAAACCAAUGCUGCCCAGGAUGUAGGAGCGGGGCAGGAGGCUCUCCCCGAGGUUGGUGCCUCCACUGAGGUAGCUGCGCAUGAUGGUGAAGCUGGAGGAGGAGGAGCCGGUGGACAUGGUGCUGGUGCCCACAUUCGUGCCCCCGGAUGACUUCUCUGC